AGUGAACGCUGGCGGUAGGCCUAACACAUGCAAGUCGAACGGCAGCACAGUAAGAGCUUGCUCUUACGGGUGGCGAGUGGCGGACGGGUGAGGAAUACAUCGGAAUCUACUUUUUCGUGGGGGAUAACGUAGGGAAACUUACGCUAAUACCGCAUACGACCUACGGGUGAAAGCAGGGGAUCUUCGGACCUUGCGCGAUUGAAUGAGCCGAUGUCGGAUUAGCUAGUUGGCGGGGUAAAGGCCCACCAAGGCGACGAUCCGUAGCUGGUCUGAGAGGAUGAUCAGCCACACUGGAACUGAGACACGGUCCAGACUCCUACGGGAGGCAGAAGUGGGGAAUAUUGGACAAUGGGCGCAAGCCUGAUCCAGCCAUACCGCGUGGGUGAAGAAGGCCUUCGGGUUGUAAAGCCCUUUUGUUGGGAAAGAAAAGCAGCAGGUUAAUAACCCGCUGUUCUGACGGUACCAAAAGAAUAAGCACCGGCUAACUUCGUG
rnacentral:rRNA from 1 species